ACAACACCUACAGCGGCCCCAGCUGUGAAGAUCCUCUAGCCAAGCCUGGACACCAGCAGACUUGAUCCACGCUAGCGGUCAAAAUCGACCAACGAGUAGACGGACAUUGUCUACUCAGUGUAAAUAGACAGUGGUAAGACUGGAACUCGUUAUUAACCAGUAGUGACGCCAUGUGAAGACAAAACGCAAGUACAAGCAGAAGACUAGUCGACACAAGUAGAAGACUAGACGACACAAGUUGAGGACUAGAACAC